UGGAAUGGUGUUUGAGCCACGGCUGUUCCAGGCCUUGUUCCCUGAAUGAUGGAUGAGUAAUUCCAAAGCCCUGCUCUCACUCUCCAUCAAUAACAGCAGUUAGGAGGUUUCCUGCAGCUCCUUCAGGCCCUGCAAGGCCACACUGAGCUCACCCCAAAGCUUCUCCUGCCCAGGAAUUCACACAGGAUGGAAAACGUUCCUGCAGAAGGUGGGGACAGCAGUGAUGACAUUCGGGCUGUCAGGGCCGCUCCUCUGGCCACCAGCAGGACUUCCUGGUCAGCAGUCCCCUGGAUCUGGAGAGAUGCCACCCAGUAAUCACUUUUCUGGCAGCUUGUUCCCUCUUUUCUGAACAUCCUGGGACAACACACGAGCCAACAGUGGCGAAAUCCCUCGAUGACUUCAGCGAUUUCAUCCCUCAGUGCAAAUAGGGGUGACUUAUCUCACAUCACACACGGAGCUGUUUGUGGCCCCUGGGGACACUUUGGUCACCCAUGGCACGGCCAGGCUGCUGUGAGAGGACCAAGCAGCUCCUUGGUUAAU